UUGGUUAAGUUAGAAAGGGCGCACGGUGGAUGCCUUGGCACUAGGAGCCGAAGAAGGACGGGACUAACACCGAUAUGCUUUGGGGAGCUGUACGUAAGCGUUGAUCCAGAGAUUUCCGAAUGGGGGAACCCACUAUCUUUAGUCGGAUAGUAUCCUUACGUGAAUACAUAGCGUGAGGAAGGCAGACCCAGGGAACUGAAACAUCUAAGUACCUGGAGGAAGAGAAAGAAAAAUCGAUUUCCUGAGUAGCGGCGAGCGAAACGGAAAGAGCCCAAACCAAGAAGCUUGCUUCUUGGGGUUGUAGGACACUCUAUANNCUUUCCCUCCAGAGUGGAUCCUGAGUACGGCGGAACACGUGAAAUUCCGUCGGAAUCCGGGAGGACCAUCUCCCAAGGCUAAAUACUCCCUAGUGACCGAUAGUGAACCAGUACCGUGAGGGAAAGGUGAAAAGCACCCCGGAAGGGGAGUGAAACAGUUCCUGAAACCGUGUGCCUACAAGUAGUUAGAGCCCGUUAAUGGGUGAUAGCGUGCCUUUUGUAGAAUGAACCGGCGAGUUACGAUUUGUUGCAAGGUUAAGCGGAAAAAGCGGAGCCGUAGCGAAAGCGAGUCUGAAUAGGGCGCAUAAGUAACAGGUCGUAGACCCGAAACCAGGUGAUCUACCCAUGUCCAGGAUGAAGGUAAGGUAAUACUUACUGGAGGUCCGAACCCACGCACGUUGAAAAGUGCGGGGAUGAGGUGUGGGUAGCGGAGAAAUUCCAAUCGAACUUGGAGAUAGCUGGUUCUCUCCGAAAUAGCUUUAGGGCUAGCCUCGAGGUAAAGAGUCAUGGAGGUAGAGCACUGUUUGGACUAGGGGCCCUUCUCGGGUUACCGAAUUCAGAUAAACUCCGAAUGCCAUGUACUUAUACUCGGGAGUCAGACUGCGAGUGAUAAGAUCCGUAGUCGAAAGGGAAACAGCCCAGACCACCAGUUAAGGUCCCCAAAUAUAUGUUAAGUGGAAAAGGAUGUGGGGUUGCUUAGACAACCAGGAUGUUGGCUUAGAAGCAGCCACCAUUGAAAGAGUGCGUAAUAGCUCACUGGUCGAGUGACCCCGCGCCGAAAAUGUACCGGGGCUAAACAUAUUACCGAAACUGUGGAUGAACCUCUUUAGAGGUUCGUGGUAGGAGAGCGUUCUAAGGGCGGUGAAGUCAGACCGGAAGGACUGGUGGAGCGCUUAGAAGUGAGAAUGCCGGUAUGAGUAGCGAAAGAAGGGUGAGAAUCCCUUCCACCGAAUAUCUAAGGUUUCCUGAGGAAGGCUCGUCCGCUCAGGGUUAGUCGGGACCUAAGCCGAGGCCGAUAGGCGUAGGCGAUGGACAACAGGUAGAGAUUCCUGUACCAGUGCUAAUUGUUUAACCGAUGGGGUGACACAGAAGGAUAGGGAAUCGCACGAAUGGAAAUGUGCGUCCAAGCAGUGAGUGUGAGAAGUAGGCAAAUCCGCUUCUCGCGAAGCAUGAGCUGUGAUGGGGAAGGAAAUUAAGUACGGAAGUUCCUGAUUUCACGCUGUCAAGAAAAGCCUCUAGGAAGAGUAGUACUGCCCGUACCGCAAACCGACACAGGUAGAUGAGGAGAGAAUCCUAAGGUGAGCGAGAGAACUCUCGUUAAGGAACUCGGCAAAAUGACCCCGUAACUUCGGGAGAAGGGGUGCUCUAUUAGGGUGCAAGCCCGAGAGAGCCGCAGUGAAUAGGCCCAGGCGACUGUUUAGCAAAAACACAGGUCUCUGCAAAACCGUAAGGUGACGUAUAGGGGCUGACGCCUGCCCGGUGCUGGAAGGUUAAGAGGAGUGCUUAGCUUCGGCGAAGGUACGAAUUGAAGCCCCAGUAAACGGCGGCCGUAACUAUAACGGUCCUAAGGUAGCGAAAUUCCUUGUCGGGUAAGUUCCGACCCGCACGAAAGGCGCAACGAUCUGGGCACUGUCUCAACGAGAGACUCGGUGAAAUUAUAGUACCUGUGAAGAUGCAGGUUACCCGCGACAGGACGGAAAGACCCCGUGGAGCUUUACUGCAACCUGAUAUGGAAUGUUUGUACCGCUUGUACAGGAUAGGUAGGAGCCGAAGAGACGUGUGCGCUAGCAUACGAGGAGGCAAUGGUGGGAUACUACCCUGGCUGUAUGACCAUUCUAACCCGCCACGCUUAGCGCGUGGGGAGACAGUGUCAGGUGGGCAGUUUGACUGGGGCGGUCGCCUCCUAAAGAGUAACGGAGGCGCCCAAAGGUUCCCUCAGAAUGGAUGGAAAUCAUUCGCAGAGUGUAAAGGCACAAGGGAGCUUGACUGCGAGACUGACAAGUCGAGCAGGGACGAAAGUCGGGCUUAGUGAUCCGGUGGUUCCGCAUGGAAGGGCCAUCGCUCAACGGAUAAAAGCUACCCCGGGGAUAACAGGCUUAUCUCCCCCAAGAGUCCACAUCGACGGGGAGGUUUGGCACCUCGAUGUCGGCUCGUCGCAUCCUGGGGCUGUAGUCGGUCCCAAGGGUUGGGCUGUUCGCCCAUUAAAGCGGCACGCGAGCUGGGUUCAGAACGUCGUGAGACAGUUCGGUCCCUAUCCGUCGCGGGCGCAGGAAAUUUGAGAGGAGCUGUCCUUAGUACGAGAGGACCGGGAUGGACACACCGCUGGUGUACCAGUUGUUCCGCCAGGAGCAUCGCUGGGUAGCUAUGUGUGGCAGGGAUAAACGCUGAAAGCAUCUAAGCGUGAAGCCCCCCUCAAGAUGAGAUUUCCCAUUUCUUCGGAAAGUAAGAUCCCUGAAAGAUGAUCAGGUAGAUAGGUUUGGAGUGGAAGUGUAGCGAUACAUGGAGCGGACAAAUACUAAUCGAUCGAGGACUUAACCAAAA
rnacentral:rRNA from 1 species